GACGAACGCUGGCGGCGUGCUUAACACAUGCAAGUCGAACGGAAAGGCCCUGCUUUUGUGGGGUGCUCGAGUGGCGAACGGGUGAGUAACACGUGAGUAACCUGCCCUUGACUUUUGGAUAACUUCAGGAAACUGGGGCUAAUACCGGAUAGGAGCUCCUGCUGCAUGGUGGGGGUUGGAAAGUUUCGGCGGUUGGGGAUGGACUCGCGGCUUAUCAGCUUGUUGGUGGGGUAGUGGCUUACCAAGGCUUUGACGGGUAGCCGGCCUGAGAGGGUGACCGGCCACAUUGGGACUGAGAUACGGCCAGGACUCCUACGGGAGGCAGCAGUGGGGAAUAUUGCACAAUGGGCGGAAGCCGGAUGCAGCAACGCCGCGUGCGGGAUGACGGCCUUCGGGUUGUAAACCGCUUUCGCCUGUGACGAAGCGUGAGUGACGGUAAUGGGUAAAGAAGCACCGGCUAACUACGUG
rnacentral:rRNA from 1 species